rnacentral:rRNA from 1 species
CAGCCGCCACGGUAAUACGUAGGGGGCAAGCGUUAUCCGGAAUUACUGGGUGUAAAGGGCUCGCAGGCGGUUUCUUAAGUCUGAUGUGAAAGCCCCCGGCUCAACCGGGGAGGGUCAUUGGAAACUGGGAAACUUGAGUGCAGAAGAGGUGAGAGGAAUUCCACGUGUAGCGGUGAAAUGCGUAGAGAUGUGGAGGAACACCAGUGGCGAAGGCGACUCUCUGGUCUGUAACUGACGCUGAGGAGCGAAAGCGUGGGGAGCGAACAGGAUUAGAUACCCCCGUAGUCCCUGUCUCUUAUAU